rnacentral:lncRNA from 1 species
GUCAAGUAGUGUUAUUUUUUCAGGAACUACGAUAUGGCAGCAACUAUAAAGGUUAGCCUACAUCAUCACACAAAACGCUGAUAGUUUUUUCUCUAAAGUACAGGGACUGCUUCAGACAGACAAGGUUGUAGCAUUUAUAAUAUAUGUUUUGGAAUGUUCGUUCAAAUCACUGGAGGGUUUUUAUUUCAGCUUUUCAUAAAUAUGAGGCAAAGACAUACAUCAUCAUGGUUCAGAAGAGGCAGUUUGCAUCCCUGAGAGAAGAAUGGGAGAAACUCCCCAAAAACAGGUGUGCCAAGCUUGUAGCGUCAUACCCAAGAAGAGUCGAGGCUGUAAUCACUGCCAAAGUGGAAUGACACAGACAGAAACUAGCGUCUCACUCUGGGAUCGGAGCGAGGAGGAAUUUUUGAAACAAGCAAACGGCAGUCGGUGGAUCCAAUCUGUUCCUCCCCAUCUGGUGUUCUUGUUUUCCGCCGCCCCCACCACAUUGUAUCCUCGCUGCCACAGCCACAAUCGUUUCCUAGCCACUCACAGACAGAUAACACACAACUAGCUGGGCGGCACUCGGUCUCACCUUUUAUAACAGACACACACACACACACACCAACACAGAUGCAUACACACACAUAAAGUGUUUAUCUGUAAAAAAUUAUUAUAAAGAACAGCAUCACUCCCAGACAGUUUAUUGCUGGUAGAUAUACAGUACCAGUCAACAGUUUGGACACACCUACUCAUUGAAGGGUUUUCCUUCAUUUUUACAUUUUCUACAUUGUAGAAUAAUAGUGAAGACAUCAAAACUAUGAAAUAUCACAUAUGGAAUCAUGUAGUAACCACACUCUUGGCAUUCUCUCAACCAGAUUCACCUGGAAUGCUUUUCUAACAGUCUUGAAGGAAUUCCCACAUAUGCUGAGCACUCAUUGACUGCUUUUCCUUCACUCUGCGGUCCAACUCAUCCCAAACCAUCUCAAUUGGGUUGAGGUCGGGUGAUUGUGGAGGCCAGGUCGUCUGAUGCAAUACUCCAUCACUCUCCUUGGUCAAAUAGCCCGUACACAGCCUAGAGGUGUGUUUUUGGUCAUUGUACUGUUGAAAAACAAAUAAUAGUCCCACUAAGCGCAAACCAGGUGGGAUGGCGUAUUGCUGCAGAAUGCUGUGGUAGCCAUGCUGGUUAGGUAUGCCUUGAAUUCUAAAUAAAUCACUGACAGUGUCACCAGCAAAGCACCCCCACAACUUCCCACCUCCUCCUCCAUGCUUCAUGGUGGGAACCACACAUGCGGACAUCAUCCAUUCACCUACUCUGCGUCACUCAAAGACACGGCGGUUGAAACCAAACACCUCAAAUUUGGACUCAUCAGACCAAAGGACAGAUUUCCUCCGGUCUAAUGUCCAUUGCUCGUGUUUCUUGGCCCAAGCAAGUCUCUUCUUAUUAUUGGUGUCCUUUAGUAGUGGUUUAAUUGUAGCAAUUCGACCAUGAAGGCCUGAUUCACACAGUCUCUCUGAACAGUUGAUGUUGAGAUGUGUCUGUUACUUGAACUCUGUGAAGCAUUUAUUUGGGCUGCAAUCUGAGGUGCAGUUAAUUACUGAUUUCUGAGGCUGGUGACUCAAAUGAACUUAUCCUCUUUAGCAGAGGUAACUCUGAAAAAGUUUCCAUAUUGACUGACCUUGAUGUCUUAAAGUAAUGAUGGACUAUUGUUUCUCUUUGCUUAUUUGAGCUGUUCUUGCCAUAAUAUGGACUUGGUCUUUUACCAAAUAGGGCUAUCUUCUGUAUACCAACCCUACCUUGUCACAACACAACUGAUUGGCUCAAAUGCAUUAAGAAGGAAAGAAACUCCACAAACUUUUAACAAGGCACACCUUUUCAUUGAAAUGCAUUCCAGGUGACUACCUCAUGAAGCUGAUUGAGAGAAUGCCAAGAGUGUACAAAGCUGACAUCAUGGCAAAGGGAGGCUACUUUGAAGAAUCUCAAAGAUAACAUACAUUUUGUUUUGUUUAACACUUUUUUUGCUUACUACCGGAUUCCAUAUGCGUUAUUUCAUAGUUUUGAUGUCUUUACUAUUAUUCUACAAUGCAGAAAAUAAUAAAAAGCAAAUGGUACUUCAUAAUGUUUAUAUCUACAGUACCAGUCAAAAGUUUGGACACACCUACUC